rnacentral:lncRNA from 1 species
UAAGAUGGGUCCUCUCUUCGUAGGCUAAUGCAUUGGCCCUUUUUGACCCGUUUUGGGGCGAAAACAAAAACUGACUCCCGGGCAUAUUUUUUUCGGCCUUUAUGGGCAGAGAACUUUAAUGCCGCUCAAAAUGAGGCCACCCAGUAGUUAGGUGUGAAUUUUCGAGACCUUUGGCACCGUUCUAAGAUGGGUCCUCUCUUCGUAGGCUAAUGCAUUGGCCCUUUUUGACCCGUUUUGGGGCGAAAACAAAAACUGACUCCCGGGCAUAUUUUUUUCGGCCUUUAUGGGCAGAGAACUUUAAUACCGCUCAAAAUGAGGCCACCCAGUAGUUAGGUGUGAAUUUUCGAGACCUUUGGCACCGUUCUAAGAUGGGUCCUCUCUUCGUAGGCUAAUGCAUUGGCCCUUUUUGACCCGUUUUGGGGCGAAAACAAAAACUGACUCCCGGGCAUAUUUUUUUCGGCCUUUAUGGGCAGAGAACUUUAAUGCCGCUCAAAAUGAGGCCACCCAGUAGUUAGGUGUGAAUUUUCGAGACCUUUGGCACCGUUCUAAGAUGGGUCCUCUCUUCGUAGGCUAAUGCAUUGGCCCUUUUUGACCCGUUUUGGGGCGAAAACAAAAACUGACUCCCGGGCAUAUUUUUUUCGGCCUUUAUGGGCAGAGAACUUUAAUACCCGCUCAGAAUGAGGCCACCCAGUAGUUAGGUGUGAAUUUUCGAGACCUUUGGCACCGUUCUAAGAUGGGUCCUCUCUUCGUAGGCUAAUGCAUUGGCCCUUUUUGACCCGUUUUGGGGCGAAAACAAAAACUGACUCCCGGGCAUAUUUUUUUCGGCCUUUAUGGGCAGAGAACUUUAAUACCGCUCAGAAAUGAGGCCACCCAGUAGUUAGGUGUGAAUUUUCGAGACCUUUGGCACCGUUCUAAGAUGGGUCCUCUCUUCGUAGGCUAAUGCAUUGGCCCUUUUUGACCCGUUUUGGGGCGAAAACAAAAACUGACUCCCGGGCAUAUUUUUUUCGGCCUUUAUGGGCAGAGAACUUUAAUACCGCUCAGAAAUGAGGCCACCCAGUAGUUAGGUGGGAAUUUUCGAGACCUUUGGCACCGUUCUAAGAUGGGUCCUCUCUUCGUAGGCUAAUGCAUUGGCCCUUUUUGACCCGUUUUGGGGCGAAAACAAAAACUGACUCCCGGGCAUAUUUUUUUCGGCCUUUAUGGGCAGAGAACUUUAACACCGCUCAAAAUGAGGCCACCCAGUAGUUAGGUGUGAAUUUUCGAGACCUUUGGCACCGUUCUAAGAUGGGUCCUCUCUUCGUAGGCUAAUGCAUUGGCCCUUUUUGACCCGUUUUGGGGCGAAAACAAAAACUGACUCCCGGGCAUAUUUUUUUCGGCCUUUAUGGGCAGAGAACUUUAAUACCGCUCAAAAUGAGGCCACCCAGUAGUUAGGUGUGAAUUUUCGAGACCUUUGGCACCGUUCUAAGAUGGGUCCUCUCUUCGUAGGCUAAUGCAUUGGCCCUUUUUGACCCGUUUUGGGGCGAAAACAAAAACUGACUCCCGGGCAUAUUUUUUUCGGCCUUUAUGGGCAGAGAACUUUAACACCGCUCAAAAUGAGGCCACCCAGUAGUUAGGUGGGAAUUUUCGAGACCUUUGGCACCGUUCUAAGAUGGGUCCUCUCUUCGUAGGCUAAUGCAUUGGCCCUUUUUGACCCGUUUUGGGGCGAAAACAAAAACUGACUCCCGGGCAUAUUUUUUUUCGGCCUUUAUGGGCAGAGAACUUUAACACCGCUCAAAAUGAGGCCACCCAGUAGUUAGGUGGGAAUUUUCGAGACCUUUGGCACCGUUCUAAGAUGGGUCCUCUCUUCGUAGGCUAAUGCAUUGGCCCUUUUUGACCCGUUUUGGGGCGAAAACAAAAACUGACUCCCGGGCAUAUUUUUC